GACGAACGCUGGCGGCGUGCCUAAUACAUGCAAGUAGAACGCACAGGAUGCACCGUAGUUUACUACACCGUAUUCUGUGAGUUGCGAACGGGUGAGUAACGCGUAGGUAACCUGCCUGGUAGCGGGGGAUAACUAUUGGAAACGAUAGCUAAUACCGUAUAAGAACAUUUACUGCAUGGUAGAUGUUUAAAAGGUGCAAGAGCAUCACUACCAGAUGGACCUGCGUUGUAUUAGCUAGUUGGUGAGGUAACGGCUCACCAAGGCAACGAUACAUAGCCGACCUGAGAGGGUGAUCGGCCACACUGGGACUGAGACACGGCCCAGACUCCUACGGGAGGCAGCAGUAGGGAAUCUUCGGCAAUGGGGGGAACCCUAACCGAGCAACGCCGCGUAAGUGAAGAAGGUUUUCGGAUCGUAAAGCUCUGUUGUUAAGGAAGAACGUGUGUGAGAGUGGAAAGUU
rnacentral:rRNA from 1 species